AGUGGAUGCCGAUAGAUGAGUAUAUUGGACAGCCAUUUUACGAAGAAGACCAAAUGUCAAGGAGGGUGAUCGAAGCUUCCAUUGCAGCGUAUGAAGGUCAUUAUAAUGGGUUUGCUGCCUGCCAGUUGACCUCAAAACUUGAUGGGAAAUUGUCCUAUUUAUAUUACGAUUGUUCAAGCAGCUUUUAACGCACCAGGCGGUUGUGCUUAUUUAAUACUAGUACUAAAACUGAUUAUGAAUAUUAAUGAAGGAAAACCGAGUCAAUAAU
rnacentral:misc_RNA from 1 species